GAUGAACGCUGGCGGCGUGCCUAAUACAUGCAAGUCGAGCGAACGGACGAGAAGCUUGCUUCUCUGAUGUUAGCGGCGGACGGGUGAGUAACACGUGGAUAACCUACCUAUAAGACUGGGAUAACUUCGGGAAACCGGAGCUAAUACCGGAUAAUAUUUUGAACCGCAUGGUUCAAAAGUGAAAGACGGUCUUGCUGUCACUUAUAGAUGGGUCCGCGCUGCAUUAGCUAGUUGGUAAGGUAACGGCUUACCAAGGCAACGAUGCAUAGCCGACCUGAGAGGGUGAUCGGCCACACUGGAACUGAGACACGGUCCAGACUCCUACGGGAGGCAGCAGUAGGGAAUCUUCCGCAAUGGGCGAAAGCCUGACGGAGCAACGCCGCGUGAGUGAUGAAGGCCUUCGGAUCGUAAAACUCUGUUAUUAGGGAAGAACAUAUGUGUAAGUAACUGUGCACAUCUUGACGGUACCUAAUCAGAAAGCCACGGCUAACUACGUG
rnacentral:rRNA from 1 species